GCCAAUGUAGUUCUUUCAGGACCGGUGUUAUGUGGUCUCGGCAGCUACUCCCAGUCACCAGUCUAGCUAUCACAUUCUGGAUUAGUUGUAGUUUCCAGGUCACCUUCUUCCUUUGCUUCCUGGGCAAGUUAUGGAUACACUGUGGCCGCGAGCUGGUAGCUCGAAAGCAAACCAUAAUGGGAAUGUUGGGACUGUUCCGUGGGAAACAGAGGGACAGUCAAUUCACAGUGCAGAGGGCACCGGAAUUAGCUCAGAGUGUAAUAUGAGCUGUACAGGAAGUACAGGAGGAGUUUGUCUCUCGACUGCUGGAGCUUUAAGAGAGCAGUCAUGUUUUCUGUACCGCUGCAAAGACAGAAAUAAGGGCAUGUAAAUACAUUUCUGUCUAUCUCUUUCCCCUGCCUGGGGGGGCAGGAAAGAGGGGGGGUGUUCUUCUCACUCUGAGAAGGAUCGCCUAUCGCGACCUCUGCCUGGAUCCUGCUGGGGAAUGCAGACAGGGAGGUCAACAGGAGAUCAAGCCGGGUGCCUGGAGAGUGGCCAGUUUCUCCUGAUAAAGGCUUGAUUCCCAACAUGUUCCUACUCUUCAAGAUAAAUCCCAGUUCCCCUUUUUUCUACCUGAUGGCCCCAAAUGUAGAUCCCCAGAAUCUGGGGAUUGUCCAACUGCUCCUGAACUUCAGAUGGAUGUGGAUUCCCAUAUUGCGUGGGAAAGACCUUAAAACAAUAACAAUAACAAUGAUUUAUUUAUACCCCGUCCAUCUGGCUGGUUUUCUCCAACCACGCUGGGUGGCUUCCAGCAAAAUAUUAAAAUACAAUAAUUCAACACAUAUUAAAAGCUUCCCAAACAGGGCUCCCUUUAGAUGUCUUCUCAAAGUCAGAUGUUUAUUUCUUUGAAAUCUGGUAGGAGGAUAUUCCACAGGGUGGGUGCCACUACCAAGAAGGCCCUGUAACUUCACUUCCCGCAGUGAGGGAGCCAGCAGAAGACCCUGGACACCUCAGUGUCCAGACAGAAGGAUGGGGGUGGAGACACUCCUUCAAGUAUACUGGGCCAAGGCUGUUAAGGGCUUUAAAGGUGAGCACCAACACUUUGAAUUGUGUCCAGAAACGUACUGGGAGCCAAUGUAGGUCUUUCAGAACCGGUGUUAUGUGGUCUCGGCAGCUACUCCCAGUCACCAGUCUAGCUACCACAUUCUGGAUUAGUUGUAGUUUCCAGGUCACCUUCAAAUGUAACCCCACAUAGAAUGCGUUGCAGUAGUCCAAGCGAGUCCUCAACACCAGCCCGCCCCCUGUCACCCCAGAACAGCACUUCUGUCUUGUCAGGAUUCAACCUCAAUCAGUCACCUGCCAUCCAUCCUUCAACCGCCUCCAGACACACACACAGGACCUUCAGCGCUUUCACUGAUUCCGAUUUAAAAGAGAGUUAGAGCAGGAUAUCAUCCGCAUACUGAUGAACACCCAGCCCAAACCCUCUGGUGAUCUCUCCCAGCAGCUUCAUGUAGAUGUUAAAAAGAAUGGGGGAGAGGAUGGAACCCUGAGGCACCC